AGCAGGGGCCAGGAAACACAGGAGAAGGGGUAACUGUUUCACAGCACUCAGGUGAGAGGGAAGACACAGCCACGCUCACCUCUUUGUAUUCGCCAUGACUAAAAGUUGAUGUAUAGAGAAGUACUACUAGAGUGCAGUGAAGGAUAUCAGCGGGAAAGAUGGUGGCUGGUACAGCGUGAGGAUGCAUUCUAUUUCUGGGGAUUGUAUGAUGGGGUUGUAUGGGUAACGUAGUUUGUCGGAUGACAUUGAUUCGUUGAAUGCCUCAGUAUAAGUGCCCGAUUACCAUUUUGUGUACUGUAAGUGGAAUGUGUCUACUGGGAAAAAACAGAGAGAUGCAUAAUAUAAUGAACAUGCAUGCAGAGAGAGGAGUUCAUUCUCCCUGACAUAGCUUGGUGGUCUUUAAUAUGUUCCAUCCUUGUGGAUGUUAAAUCUUUCAGAGGCCAGAUGGUUUGUAGACUGUGUUUUCGCUCCCAGCCUCACGGUACCCCUCAUUUAUACAUUCAUCCACAUCUUGCCUUUUAAUCCCAGUGGUGGGUCCAGCCUGACGGAUGCCCUCCCAGGCUGGCAAGGAGGCACAAUUAGCGACUCCACGAGACAGAAGAGACUACUAGUGGGGUGGAAUGAGCUGGGAGAGAAUCCCCCUCUCUUUAACGCACUGCUAAACACAGUUAUAGCCUACCGUGUACGCAUCCCUUGGAGUUCUCUCAAAUAACAACUUAUUUUUUUAAAUAUUCAAAUGCUCUAAAAAUAUAUAAAUAGCCCCUCCACCCUGGAGCUUGGCAAAUUUGAAAGAUAAAAUAAAUAACUUGUUUUUUCGCCAGUAAUGUUCAAAGUUUGAGGUGUUAGUAUUUGGAUAUUUAAUGUGAAACAUUCCUUUUGGCUGGGCUCCUUAUUUUCUUGUCUUAGAUGGCGGUUGGUCUUUCUAUCUGUAAUGUUCUCCUGUAGAGGUCUGAUCUGGUCAUGUUGAGCCAUGCUGUCUCAGUAGGAGACCAGUCUCUACUGUGCUCUACUCUGCUUUACUCUGCUCUACUUUGCUUUACGUUGCUUUACUUUGCUCUACUCUGCUCUACUACUGCUCUACUCUGCUCUACUACUGCUCUACUCUGCUCUACUCUGCUAUACUACUGCUCUACUCUGCUCUACUACUGCUCUACUCUGCUCUACUCUGCUAUACUACUGCUCUACUCUGCUCUACUCUGCUCUACUACUGCUCUACUCUGCUAUCCUCUGCUAUCCUCUGCUAUCCUCUGCUUUACUCUGCUUUACUACUGCUGUACUCUGCUCUACUACUGCUUUACUCUGCUCUACUACUGUGUUACUCUGCUCUACUACUGCUUUACUCUGCUCUACUACUGUGUUACUCUGCUCUACUCUACUACUGCUCUACUCUACUCUGCUCUACUCUGCUUUACUUUGCUUACUAUGCUCUCCUCCUGCUUUACUCUGCUCUACUACCGUGUUACUCUGCUUUACUCUGCUCUACUCUACUACUGCUCUACUCUGCUUUACUUUGGUUACUCUGCUCUCCUCCUGCUUUACUCUGCUCCACUACUGCUCUACUCUGCUCUACUCUGCUUUACUUUGCUUACUCUGCUCUCCUCCUGCUUUACUCUGUUCUACUACUGCUCUACUAUUGCUUUACUCUGCUCUACUACUGCUUUACUCUGUUCUACUACUGCUCUACUAUUGCUUUACUCUGCUCUACUACUGCUUUACUCUGCUUUACUCUGCUCUGCUCUACUCUGCUUUACUUUGCUUACUCUGCUCUCCUCCUGCUUUUCUCUGCUCUACUACUGCUCUACUACUGCUUUACUCUGCUCUACUACUGCUUUACUCUGCUCUACUACUGCUUUACUCUGCUCUACUCUGCUCUACUACUGCUCUACUACUGCUUUACUCUGCUCUACUACUGCUUUACUCUGCUCUACUCUGCUUUACUUUGCUUACUAUGCUCUCCUCCUGCUUUACUCUGCUCUACUACUGCUCUACUACUGCUUUACUCUGCUCUACUACUGCUCUAUUCUGCUCUACUCUGCUCUACUACUGCUCUACUCUGCAUUACGGUGCUCUACUUUGCAUUACUCUGCUCUACUCUGCUCUGCUCUACUCUGCUCUGCUUUACUUUGCUUUACUCUUAUCUACAACUGCUUUACUCUGCUCUACUCUGCUUUACUCUGCUCUCCUCUGCUCUGCUUUACUCUGCUCUACUCUGCUCUGCUUUACUCUGCUCUACAACUGCUUAACUCUGCUCUACUCUGCUCUACUCUGCUCUGCUUUACUCUGCUCUACUUUGCUCUCCUCUGCUUUACUCUGCUCUACUACUGCUUUACUCUGCUCUACUACUGCUUUACUACUGCUUUACUCUGCUCUACUACUGCUUUACUCUGCUCUACUACUGCUUUACUACUGCUUUACUCUGCUCUACAACUGCUUUACUCUGCUCUGCUUUACUCUGCUCUACAACUGCUUUACUCUGCUCUACUCUGCUCUGCUUUACUCUGCUCUACUCUGCUUUACUCUGCUUUACUCUGCUCUACAACUGCUUUACUCUGCUCUACAACUGCUUUACUCUGCUCUACUACUGCAGCCGACGAUGUCCUUGCCAUCUGCCGUAGUGGGGGAAAUAGUAGAAUGACUACUCUCACACACAUACAAUGUGUACAAACGGAGAGAUGCGCACAAACACACACACACACACACACACACACACACACACACACACACACACACACACACACACACACACACACACACACACACAUACACACACACACACACACACACACACACACACACACACACACACACACACACAAACACACACACACACAAACACACACACAGAUACUGUGCAUCAACAUUGUUUAUAAAUGCAGAACUUAUCUCUCUUUCUCUCUCACACACACG
ensembl:lncRNA